rnacentral:rRNA from 1 species
UACAGAGGUCCCGAGCGUUGUUCGGAUUCACUGGGCGUAAAGGGUGCGUAGGUGGCGAGGAAAGUCGGAUGUGAAAGCUCGGAGCUCAACUCCGAAAUGGCAUUGGAAACUACCUUGCUAGAGGGAUGGAGGGGGGACUGGAAUUCUCGGUGUAGCAGUGAAAUGCGUAGAGAUCAUGAGGAAGACCAGUGGCGAAGGCGGGUCUCUGGACAGUUCCUGACACUGAGGCACGAAGGCCAGGGGAGCAAACGGG